GAGGGCACAGCUCAGUGGUAGAGCACGUGCUUAGCAUGCACGAGGUCCUGGGUUCAAUCCCCAGGCCCUCC
rnacentral:tRNA from 1 species